rnacentral:rRNA from 1 species
GUUGGAUCCCUGGCCAUGUAUGUCGUAUGGCUUGGUCUCAAAAACUAACCCAUGCAUGUCUAAUUAUAAAUGUUAUACAGUGAAACUGCAAAUGGCUCAUUAAAACAGUUAUAGUUUAUUUGAUAAUCAAAUUUACAUGGAUAACCGUGGUAAUUCUAAAGCUAAUACAUGCUGUUAACCCUGACUUUUAGGAAGGGCUGUAUUUAUUAAAUAACAAACCAAUAUUCCUUGUGUCUAUUGUGACAAAUCAUAAUAACUGAUCAAAUCGCAGGGACUUUGUCCGCAAUACAUCAUUCAAGUUUCUGCCCCAUCACCUUUCGAUGGUAGUGUAUUGAACUACCAUGGCUUUAACGGGUAACGGAGGAUUAGGGUUCGAUUCCGGAAAGGGAGCCUGAAAAACGGCUACCACAUC